rnacentral:sRNA from 1 species
GGUGCUCCCAACUGAUGAAUCUGGAAACUAUGUGUACCCAGAAGUAAAAUCAGAUGAACAACUGCUUCCAACUGAUCAUACUGGAAAAACUGUGUAUCCAGUUCAUGGUCCAGAUGGAACUCCACUUCCAACAGAUGAUUCUGGUGCAAUUAUUGGCCCCGACGGAGAAGUCAUUCCUACUGAUGAAAAUGGAAUUCCUUUAUCAAAGGAUGGAUCACAACUUCCUACGGAUAACAAUGGAAAUUACGUACUUGUUCCAUCAGAUGAAGGUGCCACGAAGACCCACCCCACUGAUGAGACUAGUGAUGCCGUUCAUCCAAUCACUAAACCAGAUGGAACUCCACUUGCUACUGACUCCACCGGAAACUUUGUUACAGAAAAUGGGGACGUCAUUACUAAGGAUGAAGAAGGAAAACCUCUUGGACCAAAUGGACAGGUUUGUGAAAGACUCGUGUUUUUUCCAUUUGAUUAUUUUUUGUUCACAAAGCCAGAUAAGUGGAUUUAGUAAACUGUUUUUUUUUCAGAUCUUGCCAACUGACGCUUCUGGGAAUUACAUUUACCCAGUUAUUGGACCAGAUGGACAAGCCCUGCCAACUGAUGAAUCUGGAAAGACUGUCUACCCAGUACGCGGACCAGAUGGAACUCCACUUCCAACUGAUGCUUCUGGAGCUGUUAUCAGUCCUGAUGGAGAAGUGAUUCCCACUGACGCAAACGGAAUUCCUCUAGAUAAAGAUGGAUCUCCACUUCCAACCGAUGCUUCUGGAAAUUAUAUUCUAGUGCCUUCUGAACAGGACAUAACAAAAACUCUCCCAACCGAUGACUCUGGAAACGUGAUCUAUCCAAUCACCAAACCAGAUGGUACUUCUCUGGCAACUGACUCAACUGGGUCCUUCGUAACUGAAGGUGGAGAAAUUGUUGAGAGAGACGAAGAUGGUAAACCACUUGGACCAGAUGGACAG